rnacentral:rRNA from 1 species
GACAGAGGGGGCGAGCGUUUUCCGGAGUCACUGGGCGUAAAGCGCGCGCAGGCGGUCGCCAAAGUGUCGUGUGAAAGCCCCCGGCUCAACCGGGGGAGGUCAUGGCAAACUGGGUCGCUCGAGCUGCGGAGAGGCCCCUCGAAUUGCCGGUGUAGCGGUGAAAUGCGUAGAGAUCGGCAGGAAGACCAAGGGGGAAGCCAGGGGGCUGGCCGCAGGCUGACGCUGAGGCGCGACAGCGUGGGGAGCAAACCGG